AUAGAGACUCAGAGCUGCAUAUCAAUAAGCGGAGGAAAAGAAACUAACAAGGAUUCCCUUAGUAACGGCGAGUGAAGCGGGAAGAGCUCAAAUUUGAAAUCUUCAAGGUUUUACCUUGACGAAUUGUAGUUUAAAGAAGUGUUUUCUGUUGAAGUUUUGGUAAAAGUUCUUUGGAAUAGGACAUCAUAGAGGGUGAGAAUCCCGUAUUUGGUCAUUCCUUCUAGCUUUGUGAUACACUUUCAAAGAGUCGGAUUGUUUGGGAAUGCAGUCCAAAAUGGGUGGUAAAUUUCAUCUAAAGCUAAAUAUUGGCGAGAGACCGAUAGCGAACAAGUACCGUGAGGGAAAGAUGAAAAGAACUUUGAAAAGAGAGUUAAACAGUACGUGAAAUUGUCAAAAGGGAAGCGUUUGACACCAGUGUUGUUUUCUCGAAAAUCAAUUAAAAAAGGCAGGAUUUUGUGUUGUAUUGACCUUAUCAGCUUUCUUCACUUUUUUCGAGUCUUUCUUAAUGCACUUUUCGGUUAACAAGUCAACAUCAAUUUCUUUUGUUGUAAAAGAGUCAUUCGGAAGGUGGCUUUCUUUUCGGAGAAAGUGUUUAUAGCCCUAUACUUCUACAAUCGGAGAGAUUGAGGUCUGCAGCGUAGAUCCUUCGGGGUUAGAUACAUUUGUGCUAAGUUUACAGCUUUUCAUAGACAACUUGUUGACUAUGUUUAGUCAUGCUGACUUACUCGCUUAUGCUAUUUUACCUACGCUUAGGAUGUUGAAGUCAUCGUAUCGCGC
rnacentral:rRNA from 1 species